AUUGAACGCUGGCGGCAGGCCUAACACAUGCAAGUCGAGCGAGCGGCGGACGGGUGAGUAAUGUGUGGGAAACUGCCCGAUGGAGGGGGAUAACUACUGGAAACGGUAGCUAAUACCGCAUACCACUAGAGGUGCCCAGAUGGGAUCAGCGAGUAGGUGGGGUAAUGGCUCACCUGGGCGACGAUCCCUAGCUGGUCUGAGAGGAUGACCAGCCACACGGGAACUGAGACACGGUCCAAACUCCUACGGGGGGCAGCAGUGGGGAAUAUUGGACAAUGGGCGCAAGCCUGAUGCAGCACGGCCGGGUGUGUGAAGAAGGCCUUCGGGUUGUAAAGUACGUUCAGCGGGGAGGCGUUACCCGCAGAAGAAGCACCGGCUAACUCCGUGCCAGCAGCCGCGGUAAUAC
rnacentral:rRNA from 1 species